CAUGUAUUAGCAAACAAGAAUUUAACUCAAUGUUAAUAACCUAUUGUCCCCUGAUGGUUUUCUUUAAAAAAAAAAAAAAACAAAAAAGUGGAACAGCCUAUUGUUCUCGUGUCUGAUAAACAGAUGAUGCACGAGGAGAAAGAUGUGAUAUUUCUUGUGUUUCCUUUCCUUGCAUGGAGGAAGCGUUCUUAUCCAGUUUAAGAGAUUUUCAACCUGAGCUUUGUGGUACAACAGCUUAACGAGCAUUACAGGAUGGUGUUCAAGAAACAGUGGUGACAGUAGCAUUUACGGUGCGAAGCUAGAUGCAGGGGGCAGUGAUUUUGCUUCUUAAGGGUUUCCAAGUUGAUGAUCAAAUAAAGGUGUUACUUUCUCUUUCAAAGUAGCUGAUUAUCUUAACAUUUUCUAUGGGUCUUAAUGACUUUUGAAUCAUUUGCAGGCGCCUGAACUACUCUCGUUAUUAUUUUCUGAAAGUAAUCUAUUAGCUCUUAUGCUCAUACAUUUCAUUUGAACAGUUUGUAUGAUUAGGGAUUUAGGAAUUUCUUAGCCUUGUCUAUGCG